rnacentral:rRNA from 1 species
CCUACGGGAGGCAGCAGUAGGGAAUAUUGCUCAAUGGGGGAAACCCUGAAGCAGCAACGCCGCGUGGAGGAUGAAGGUUUUCGGAAUGUAAACCCCUUUUGUCAGAGAAGAAAAUGACGGUAUCUAACGAAUAAGCACCGGCUAACUCCGUGCCAGCAGCCGCGGUAAUACGGAGGGUGCAAGCGUUACUCGGAAUGACUGGGCGUAAAGAGCGCGUAGGCGGGAUUGCAAGUCAGAUGUGAAAUCCUAUGGCUUAACCAUAGAACUGCAUUUGAAACUGUUAUUCUAGAGUAUGGGAGAGGUAGGUGGAAUUCUUGGUGUAGCGGUGAAAUCCGUAGAGAUCAAGAGGAAUACUCAUUGCGAAGGCGACCUGCUGGAACAUAACUGACGCUGAUGCGCGAAAGCGUGGGGAGCAAACAGGAUUAGAUACCCUUGUAGUC